CUAUAAUUGACUCACCAGUAUAGAUAAAAAGUGGAAAUAUCCCAUGAAUGGACAGCUGCAUUCAGACAGAGAGACAGAGAAGGUGAAGGACAGGGUGUGUUAUGUCCCAUCAAGGAAACGUCUUUUCUUCCUCAAAGAACAGGCUGUUGUUAGACUUUUAUUUAUUCUGUUCUUGAAUUCUUUCCAGCUGCCCUGUUCCAUGCAUAAGUGAUAUGCUGGAAGCUUUGCCCCAGCCCCUGGCUUCCAUAUACCCAAGAGUCUGGAAUGUUAUUGUGGAGUUUCCACCCAAACCCUCCUUCCCGAAUCUCCCUCCAAACCCUGCUGCAUCUCAGAAAGCCUGCCAAAUGAUAGCCAAACCCCAGAGAUACUCAAGACCACUCCCACAGGGUAUUUAAACUGCAUCCCAGAGAACAGACUCAUGGUUUUUCCAGUAUCCCUUCCCCAUAUAUUCUCUGGGAGGCUGGAAGGCCACCCGGGUGCACUGUAUCCAUUAAACGUGGGCUUUUUCUAAUUUGGGGUGAUUUGAUUUGGUACUGAUUUGAAUUGCUGCAUCGGCAGAGAGGGUAAUCAGGUAUAGAAACUGUUCAAUAACAUAACCGUUCAAAAGAAUGGCAUCUGACUGUUACCUCUGCCCUUGCCAGUCAUGAUUUUUGAACUGCCAGGAAGAUCCUAAGAUAACCACAUAGCAGGAGGCUUUCUGCUAGAUCACAAAGACACAGUUGUGCCCUUAAGACACUAGCUAGCCAGGUGGUGGUAGCACAUGCCUUUAAUCUCAGUAGUGGGGAGGCAGAGCCAGUCAGAUUACUGAGUUUGAGGCCAAACUCACUCUGGUCGACAGAGUGAGUUUCAGGACAGCCAGAGUUAUAUACAGAGAAACCGUGUCUUAAACCCUACCCACCCCCAAUUAAAAGAAAAAAUAAAGAUCAUCCCAUGUAGCCUGUCAGUCCUUAGAAUAGGAAUUCACAUGACUUGUGGUAUACACAGAAAAAAAGGGGCUGAACAAAAAAAGAAGAAUAAAAGAAACACUGAGGUACAUGGAAUCAGUGGGCCAGAGUUUGCGAGAUCAGAGGGAUGUGUUCAAGUUCAUAUACAUGUAUGGAAAUGUCACUGUGAGAUUUCUUACUCAUGUGUAGUUAAUAUAAGCUAAUGCAUACUUUUCACUGUGAAAAAGGGACACAUAAAAGUGGAAAUGACAUAAACAGAGAAUAUAAAAAUAAAAAUGGGAGAUUAUAAAGAAAAAUGAGAGUUAAGUACAGUCAUUCCUGAAACCAAUAAAUGAUUUAAAUAAAUGUGAAGGCCACAGCCUCAGAAGGGAACUCACUCUGCAGAGGUUAAACAGCUCUGUAAAGUCCUUGUGCAGCUCACUCGAGUAGAGAUCCACCAAUCAACAGCUACCACACUGUAUGGCCUGAAACCAUCCCCAGGGCAUUCUGUAUAUGGCCAGGUGUCUAUCAUUUCCUACAAUGUCUCCUUGUGACAGCAGAGCAAUAAAUGGACUAACCAUGUCUAGGCACAAACCACACUGAUUUCCUCAGUUUCUGCUCUCAAGGACAGGGAAGGCAUGGUAGCAGGAAAGGCAGGUAGCUAGGGCAGUAGGAACCUGAGGAGGCUCAGCUCCUCCUGGGGGACAUGAUGGCAGCAGCAGCGGCAGGCAGCGGCCAGCAACCAGCAAGGAUGUCUCCUCGGGCAACAUGGAGAGGAGGUUGGGCGACCCUAGCAGCCACCUCUAUGCUGACGCAGUGACAUCGGGGUCCUUGGUGCCUUGGGACGCCACAGGCUGAGGGAUGAGAGCUGGGAAGGCCGGGACUCCAGACUCGAGGCAGGCUUAAGUAAGGAGUCUACAAGGCUCGUCUUAUACAUACUCAAGAGAAUCCACUCCCUUCUCAUUAGACUCAGAUUAUUGAGAAUGGAUGGUGGUCUCUGGCUAACGUUGGGAUGCUGUGGUAGCUAAUCUUUGUUGUGAUCUUGGAUAAUUACAAAUUAACUGAAAUCCAGACACCUGAGAAGGAUUUUCCUUGGUUGAAUUAUUGGAGGUGGAGACUCUACCUAAAACUGGAUCCUAUGAGUCGCAGAUCCACCCUAAAUCUAGGCCACACCUUCAGCUGGCAGCCCACAUAGAAGGACACAGAAGAAGGAACCUGUGUGUUUUCUGUCUGCUUGCCCUCACUCUCACUGGCAAGUUCAUCUAGUCUGAGCUCUUUCUUAACUGGUGUUAGGACCGACGCUAUCUGAAUUUCAAUGGGGAAUGAAAAUUGGAAGCUCUCUAGGAUCUCCCUAGGACUCCAACACCAGAUUGGGUAUGCUAAGUCACCCAGUGUCUUAGUUAUUGUUCUAUGGCUGUAAGAGACACUAUGACCAAGGCAGUUUAUAAAAGAAAAACAUUUAACUGGGAACUAUCUUACAGUUUCAGAGGGUUGGCCGAUUAUCUUCAUGGCAGAGAACAUGGCAACAGCAAUCAUGGCACUAUAAGCUUGCAUCCUGAACAAGGCAUGGUGGCACAAUCCUUUAAUCCCAAUUUGGGAGGCAGAGGCAGGCAGAUCUCUGUGAGUUCAAGUCCAGCCUGGUCUAAAGAGCUAGUUCCAGGACAGCUAGGGCUGUAACAAAGAGAUAACCUAACUUUAAAAAAAGAAGAAGCAGAAAAAGCUGGGCGUUAGUGGCACACACCUUUAAUCGCAGCACUCAGGAGGCAGAGGCAGGCAAGAUCUCUGUGAGUUCAAGGCCAACCUGGUCUCCAGAAUGAGUGUCAGGAUAGGCUCCAAAGCUAUACAGAGAAACCCUGUCUCGAAAAACCAAAAGAAAAAUAAAGGACAUCCUGAUCUGGAGGCAGGGGGUGGGGAAGAGGGAGAGGUUGGGCCUGGCCUCCACUUUUGAAAUCUCAAAGCCCAUCCCCAGUGACACAUCUCCUCCAACAAUGCCACACCUCAUAAUCCUUACUAAACAUGAACUUGGAACCAGAAAUGAAAACUCAAGCAUGUAUACCCCUAGUGGGUACCUGUGCUCUCAUGCACAUAAUGCAUAGAAGCACUCUCAGUAUCCCAAAAGAUAGUGAGUUGAUAGAUUGAAAAUGAGCAAGAAAAAAAUGUUGCUGGGUGGUGGUGGUCCUGCAUUUAAUCCUAGCACUUAGGCAGAGGCCGGCAGAUCUCCAAGUUCAAGGCCAGCCUGGUGUACAGAGUUAGUUCCAGGACAGACAGAGCGAUGCAGAGAAACCAAACAAACAAACAAAACAUGGACCAGAAUUGUCUAUAGAGAAAAUCACCCUACCCAUAGCUGUGGGUGAUGGAGCCUAAUCGAGGCAUUCUGUUUUCUUCAUGAUCUCCAAAAAUUGCUCAGCUUCCUUAAGUUAUGAAAGAAUAGCAAUUGAUUGUGGUAGAAUAUUAUUUUAAAGGUGUGUGACUUUUGCUUAUGCUGCAAUGUUUUGAAGAGUGAAACUGUAAUCUCUGCCUGUCUAAAACACCUGAUGGUCUAAUAAAGAGCAGAAUGGCCAAUAGCCAGGCAGGAACAGGAUGGGCAGCGCUGGCAGACAGAGAGUAGAAAUAGGAGGACAAAUGAGGAAAGAAGGAGAACGAGAGAACAAGAAGAGGAGGAUGUCAGGGGCCAGUCACCCAGCUACCCAGCCAGCCACGAAGUAAGAAGGAAAGUAAGACAUACAA
ensembl:lncRNA